rnacentral:tRNA from 1 species
AAUAAAGCGCAAUUUUUUUUGCUCUUCGGUUUCGGCCCGAAGCCCCGGAGAAUUUUCUCCCUUUAUUU